CCAAUAGCGUAUAUUAAAGUUGUUGCAGUUAAAAAGCUCGUAGUUGAAUUUCGGAAUCAGUACGCUGGUCGUGCCUUCGGUAUGUACUGGUGUCACUGAUUUCUCCCUUCUGAAGAACCAUCAUGCCAUUAAGUUGGUGUGGCGGGAAAUCAGGACUGUUACUUUGAAAAAAUUAGAGUGUUUAAAGCAGGCUCGCGCUUGAAUACAUUAGCAUGGAAUAAUGAAAUAGGACGUUGAUCCUAUUUUGUUGGUUUCUAGGAUUGACGUAAUGAUUAAUAGGGAUAGUUGGGGGCAUUAGUAUUCAAUUGUCAGAGGUGAAAUUCUUGGAUUUAUUGAAGACUAACUACUGCGAAAGCAUUUGCCAAGGAUGUUUUCAUUAAUCAAGAACGAAAGUUAGGGGAUCGAAGACGAUCAGAUACCGUCGUAGUCUUAACCAUAAACUAUGCCGACUAGGGAUCGGAUGAUGUUAAUUUUUUAAUGACUCAUUCGGCGCCUUACG
rnacentral:rRNA from 1 species